CAGGUAUAAAGGUCUACUUUAGGUCUAACAUUAGGCCUACUGCCUGACUACAGGUAUAAAGGUCUAUAGUUCUACUGCCUGACUGCAGGUAUAAAGGUCUUUAGUUCAACUUCCUGAAUAAAGGCCUACUUUAUGUCUAACAUUAGACCUACUUCCUGACUACAGGUAUAAAGGUCUAUAGUUCUACUUCCUGACUACAGGUUUCAAGGUCUAUAGUUAUUUUUCCUGACUACAGGUAUAAAGGUCUUUAGUUCUACUUCCUGACUACAGAGUGUCUAUAGGUCUCUUAAGGUGUUGCUAUCUAAGGUGAACUCCUCAAAGCUGAAUAUUUUCCAUUGACGUCACGUUGGUGUGAAACCUGUUUACCUCGAUGCUAGACCCUCCUCUUCCUGUCACAACAUGGGUUUCAGAGAAAAGGACCACGAGCUGAAAACUUUCCAUUCAAUUGAACCAAUCGCUGCUCGUAUGUCCUUUCAUGGUAAAGUACAUCUAGUCAUGAACACAGAAAUACGCAGAAAAGACCUUGUUACUCAAAGACCCAGCUACUCUCUGACAGUCACCAUCAGACCAUCAGACCACCAGAUGGACAGGCUGUGUGUUUCUCUGAUUGCAUUCUUAUGUGCUGUUUCCGCCAGUCAGGAUGGGAUCUCUGCAGCAGAGGUGGAGCUGAGAGUCAGACCAGGAGACAGUGGUCAAUCAAUCAGUCAAACCUUCAUUCCAAUACUCUUGAGGAAGGAGACCUGUUUUACGCCUCGUUGGAUAUCCGUCAGGGACAGAGGAGACCAAAGAAGAAGAAGAAGAGAGUCCAGAACUCUGACUUCAGUACCUACACAGCCAUCAAUACCAGCAGAGUGAGACCUAUACCAGCCAUCAAUACCAGCAGAGUGUGAGACCUAUACCAUCCAUCAAUACCAG
rnacentral:lncRNA from 1 species